GCUCAGGAUGAACGCUGGCGGCGUGCUUAACACAUGCAAGUCGAACGAAGCACUUUAUUUGAUUUCUUCGGAAUGAAGAUUUUGUGACUGAGUGGCGGACGGGUGAGUAACGCGUGGGUAACCUGCCUCAUACAGGGGGAUAACAGUUGGAAACGACUGCUAAUACCGCAUAAGCGCACAGGGUCGCAUGACCUGGUGUGAAAAACUCCGGUGGUAUGAGAUGGACCCGCGUCUGAUUAGCCAGUUGGUGGGGUAACGGCCUACCAAAGCGACGAUCAGUAGCCGACCUGAGAGGGUGACCGGCCACAUUGGGACUGAGACACGGCCCAAACUCCUACGGGAGGCAGCAGUA
rnacentral:rRNA from 1 species